rnacentral:rRNA from 1 species
UACGUAGGGUGCAAGCGUUGUCCGGAAUUAUUGGGCGUAAAGAGCUCGUAGGCGGUCUGUUGCGUCGGCUGUGAAAACCCGGGGCUCAACUCCGGGCCUGCAGCCGAUACGGGCAGACUAGAGUUCGGCAGGGGAGACUGGAAUUCCUGGUGUAGCGGUGAAAUGCGCAGAUAUCAGGAGGAACACCAAUGGCGAAGGCAGCUCGCUGGGACGGUACUGACGCUGAGGCGCGAAAGCGUGGGGAGCAAACAGG